UGAGAGUUUUCUCAACUCUCAUGCCCUGGUCAAACGAGAACAAGAGUUGCAUUAGAGUUGAGAAAACUCUCAUGCAAACUCUCGCUUCUCAACUCUCACCAACUCUGAUGUAACUCUUGUUCUCGUUUGACCAGCGCAUGAGAGUUGAGAAAACUCUCA